GAACGCUAGCUACAGGCUUAACACAUGCAAGUCGAGGGGUAUCGGGAAGAAAGCUUGCUUUCUUUGCCGGCGACCGGCACACGGGUGAGUAACACGUAUCCAACCUGCCCUUUACUCGGGGAUAGCCUUUCGAAAGAAAGAUUAAUACCCGAUAGUAUAAUGAUUCCGCAUGGUUUCAUUAUUAAAGGAUUCCGGUAAAGGAUGGGGAUGCGUUCCAUUAGGUUGUUGGUGAGGUAACGGCCCACCAAGCCUUCGAUGGAUAGGGGUUCUGAGAGGAAGGUCCCCCACAUUGGAACUGAGACACGGUCCAAACUCCUACGGGAGGCAGCAGUGAGGAAUAUUGGUCAAUGGGCGCUAGCCUGAACCAGCCAAGUAGCGUGAAGGAUGAAGGCUCUAUGGGUCGUAAACUUCUUUUAUAUAAGAAUAAAGUGCAGUAUGUAUACUGUUUUGUAUGUAUUAUAUGAAUAAGGAUCGGCUAACUCCGUGCCAGCAGCCGCGGUAAUACGGAGGAUCCGAGCGUUAUCCGGAUUUAUUGGGUUUAAAGGGAGCGUAGGUGGACUGGUAAGUCAGUUGUGAAAGUUUGCGGCUCAACCGUAAAAUUGCAGUUGAUACUGUCAGUCUUGAGUACAGUAGAGGUGGGCGGAAUUCGUGGUGUAGCGGUGAAAUGCUUAGAUAUCACGAAGAACUCCGAUUGCGAAGGCAGCUCACUGGACUGCAACUGACACUGAUGCUCGAAAGUGUGGGUAUCAAACAGGAUUAGAUACCCUGGUAGUCCACACAGUAAACGAUGAAUACUCGCUGUUUGCGAUAUACAGUAAGCGGCCAAGCGAAAGCAUUAAGUAUUCCACCUGGGGAGUACGCCGGCAACGGUGAAACUCAAAGGAAUUGACGGGGGCCCGCACAAGCGGAGGAACAUGUGGUUUAAUUCGAUGAUACGCGAGGAACCUUACCCGGGCUUAAAUUGCAGUGGAAUGAUGUGGAAACAUGUCAGUGAGCAAUCACCGCUGUGAAGGUGCUGCAUGGUUGUCGUCAGCUCGUGCCGUGAGGUGUCGGCUUAAGUGCCAUAACGAGCGCAACCCUUAUCUUCAGUUACUAACAGGUCAUGCUGAGGACUCUGGAGAGACUGCCGUCGUAAGAUGUGAGGAAGGUGGGGAUGACGUCAAAUCAGCACGGCCCUUACGUCCGGGGCUACACACGUGUUACAAUGGGGGGUACAGAAGGCAGCUAGCGGGUGACCGUAUGCUAAUCCCAAAAUCCUCUCUCAGUUCGGAUCGAAGUCUGCAACCCGACUUCGUGAAGCUGGAUUCGCUAGUAAUCGCGCAUCAGCCACGGCGCGGUGAAUACGUUCCCGGGCCUUGUACACACCGCCCGUCAAGCCAUGGGAGCCGGGGGUACCUGAAGUACGUAACCGCAAGGAUCGUCCUAGGGUAAAAC
rnacentral:rRNA from 1 species